rnacentral:snRNA from 1 species
AUCCUUGCACUGGAGCAAUAUCAUAGACUAUGUAGCUCUACUGAGACAUGAUCAUUGCUGGUGGGAAACUGAACCAAAUACUCUGCCUGGACGACUCGGUCUAUCUGUCUGCAAAGACUGAUAAAUUGUCUCGAGU